rnacentral:misc_RNA from 1 species
GAAAUGCGAUAAGUAAUGUGAAUUGCAGAAUUCAGUGAAUCAUCGAAUCUUUGAACGCAUCUUGCGCUCCUUGGUAUUCCGAGGAGCAUGCCUGUUUGAGUGUCAUUAAAUUCUCAACUACACCAGUUUGUUUACAGACUGCGUGUGGCUUGGAUGUGGAGGCUUUUGCAGGUCCGCUCUAGUAGUGGUCUGCUCCUCUGAAAUGUAUUAGUGGGUUGUGCCCCUAAUCUAUUGGUGUGAUAAUUAUCUACGCCGUGGAUUCAGGUUUUGGCUACAUUAGACCUGCUUCUAACCGUCUCGCAAGGGACAGCAUUUGACAUUUUUGACCUCAAAUCAGGUAAGACUACCCGCUGAACUUAAGC